CAUUAGUGGGCCAGCACUGUUGGUCUUGUUCAGGUAGCACUGUGGCAGGAUGCUGGGUUCCCUCUGACAGGAGGACAAACGGGCCCAUUUCUCUCAUAUCUCCGCCUCUUCCGUCACCAUAUGCAGGUGGUGUGGAGCACAUGGAGUGCGAAAUUAAACUAGAAGGCCCCGCCAGCCCAGAUGUGGAGCCUGGCAAAGAAGAGACGGAAGAAAGCAAAAAACGCAAGCGCAAACCCUAUCGGCCUGGCAUUGGUGGUUUCAUGGUGCGACAGCGAAAGUCUCAUACACGUGUGAAAAGGGGGCCUGCUGCACAGGCGGAGGUGUUGAGUGGGGAUGGGCAGCCCGACGAGGGUGAGACGGUGCUGCCUCCUGACCUGCCUGCGGAGGGGUCUGUGGAACAGAGCCUUGUCGAAGGUGAUGAGAAGAAGAAGCAACAGCGACGAGGACGCAAAAAGAGCAAGCUAGAGGACAUGUUUCCUGCUUACCUGCAAGAAGCCUUCUUUGGGAAGGAACUGUUGGACCUGAGCCGGAAGGCCCUUUUUGCAGUUGGAGUGGGCCGGCCAAGCUUUGGACUAGGAACUCCAAAAGCCCGGGGGGAUGGAGGUCCAGAUAAAAAGGAGCUUCCCACCUUGCAGAAAGGUUAGCUACAUGGAAAUAAAUUGUUCUGAUGAGAGCCAAUAUUACCUUUU
rnacentral:lncRNA from 1 species